rnacentral:rRNA from 1 species
GAGUUUGAUCCUGGCUCAGAUUGAACGCUGGCGGCAGGCCUAACACAUGCAAGUCGAGCGGAUGACGGGAGCUUGCUCCUUGAUUCAGCGGCGGACGGGUGAGUAAUGCCUAGGAAUCUGCCUGGUAGUGGGGGACAACGUUUCGAAAGGAACGCUAAUACCGCAUACGUCCUACGGGAGAAAGCAGGGGACCUUCGGGCCUUGCGCUAUCAGAUGAGCCUAGGUCGGAUUAGCUAGUUGGUGGGGUAAUGGCUCACCAAGGCGACGAUCCGUAACUGGUCUGAGAGGAUGAUCAGUCACACUGGAACUGAGACACGGUCCAGACUCCUACGGGAGGCAGCAGUGGGGAAUAUUGGACAAUGGGCGAAAGCCUGAUCCAGCCAUGCCGCGUGUGUGAAGAAGGUCUUCGGAUUGUAAAGCACUUUAAGUUGGGAGGAAGGGCAGUAAGUUAAUACCUUGCUGUUUUGACGUUACCGACAGAAUAAGCACCGGCUAACUCUGUGCCAGCCGCCGC